UACGUAGGGGACGAGCGUUGUCCGGAUUCAUUGGGCGUAAAGCGCGCGUAGGCGGUUACUCAAGUCGGUUGUGAAAAUCCGGGGCUCAACCCCGGACCUGCAUCCGAUACUGCGUGACUAGAGGUAGGUAGGGGAGAUCGGAAUUCCUGGUGUAGCGGUGAAAUGCGCAGAUAUCAGGAGGAACACCAGUGGCGAAGGCGGCCUGCUGGGCAGUAGCUGACACUGAGGCGCGAAAGCGUGGGGAGCAAACAGG
rnacentral:rRNA from 1 species